rnacentral:rRNA from 1 species
GAUGAACGCUGGCGGCGUGCUUAACACAUGCAAGUCGAACGGAAAGGCCCUGCUUUUGUGGGGUGCUCGAGUGGCGAACGGGUGAGUCACACGCGAGUAACCUGCCCCUGACUUUUGGCUAACUUCAGGAAACUUGGGCUACUACCGGAUAGGAGCUCCUGCUUCGUUGUGGGGUUUGGACAGUUUCGGCGGUAGGGGAUGGACUCGCGGCUUAUCAGCUUGUUGGUGGGGUAGUGGCUUACCACGGCUUUGACGGGUAGCCGGCCUGAGAGUGUGACCGGGACAUUGGGACUGAGAUACGGCCCAGACUCCUACGGGAGGCAGCAGUGGGGAAUAGUGCACAAUGGGCGGAAGCCUGAUGCAGCAACGCCGCGUGCGGGAUGACGGCCUUCGGGUUGUAAGCCGCGUUCGCCUGUGACGAAGCGUGAGUGACGGUAAUGGGUAAAGAAGCACCGGCUAACUACGGG